UUUGUUGUUUUGUUGGUUGGGUUUUUUUUUUCCCUGACUGCGCUUUCUAAGUUCAGAUGUCUCGCUUUCGGAAUUUUGUAAACCCGCGGUUCGCCCCGCUUUGCUUUCGUGACGGCUGCGCGGCUUUCUGCCACCGCGAUUGUCGGUGGGAUUCCCGUGCGCUCCGGCUGCUGAGGCAAAUGGGGGAUCCCGCCUUAAUAUCCGAUUUCGUGUUUCUCUUCCAGUGAUCCCAGUGACAGAAUGACACAGUUUUUGUAAGCCUGUGACUGCAUCAGAAGCUCUUCCACUUUUGAUUUGUUUAAACCAGCCAUGUUUGCCAAGUGUUUAAGGUUGGGCUGGGAAAGAUAGUGCUGUGCAUUGCUCAAGGGUGUAGGAGAGGCCAGGCAGGUUUCCCUCUGUGUUUAAAAGGACACAGUGUUUCUAUGGCGGGGUGCCACGGCUCCCUUACACCGGCACGCUCAGCAGCCAUGCAGCGCCGACGGGGAAAGAUACCUUCUAUUCGAUUAAUAACGUUUUGGAACUCACAUGACAAAAAACCCUUCCUUUAAAUAUUUCAUUUCAUAUCACCAGUAUGCGUCAUUUCCAUUUUUAGUUGUCUAAAGCAUUUUAUAUGUGUCUGGUUCUAGUCUAUAAAGCUGGCAAAUGAGUUUGAUUAUAUGUGUGUGGAAUUAUUUUAUAGGGAAGGCUUAAUGAAAUGCUCACAUUGAAGUUACAAAAAUGGUAGGACCAGAUAAAAUACAGUUAGAAAAUUAAUUGUGACAAAGUGACUCUUUUUCAGGGGAAGCUUGUAGAAGCAGUAAGUAGAGAUAGAAAAGUCUUUGAAUUAUGUGAGUCUCCUGUAUGCAAAUUGGCUGAAGAAGAUGCGCUAAAGGGGAGUGGAUUUCACACUUAAAAAUUUCACACCUAAACUGUGGACAUUACAAAAGCUUCACAGAAGUAUGGCAGAUGAAAGCUGGUCAAAGUAAAAGUCUUUGCCUCCAGCCACAGCGAUUUGGGGACGGCUGCAGGAUUUCUACAUUAAUAUGUUUUUACUUCACUAAAUAAACAUGUGUUCUUUCUGAUUCAUACUGGAAUGUCAGCUCCUUUCCUAUCCUUUUACUGCCUCACGUUGAUCUUCAUAUGAAGAGCAGAACUGGGCUGUGGUAAAAGGUCAGCCUCUGCUUUAAAAACUCCGGUUGAGAGACCUGAAGCUUUCCCUUCGUCCCGCAUGUCUAAGAAUGCAGAACUGCAACAUAUCCUGACUGUAUUUCAGCCCCCGGGUUACACAAAUCCAACAUAGGACAAGGCACUCCAUGUGCUUGAACUACCCCUCACCCUGGAUCCUCGAUCUACUGAAUCCUCCUUCAAGAAAGCCCUUUUUUGGUAAACUCACCUCACAGAAACAGGCUUGUUGGCUCAGAAGAGCAGUCUUUAUAGUGGGUGUAAAUAAUAA